rnacentral:rRNA from 1 species
CGCGUAGGCGGAUUAAUAAGUCAGGGGUGAAAUCCCGGGGCUCAACCUCGGAAUUGCCUUUGAUACUGUUAGUCUUGAGAUAGGAAGAGGUAAGUGGAAUUGCGAGUGUAGAGGUGAAAUUCGUAGAUAUUCGCAAGAACACCGGUGGCGAAGGCGACUUACUGGUCCUUAUCUGACGCUGAGGCGCGAAAGCGUGGGGAGCAAACA